rnacentral:rRNA from 1 species
UACGUAGGGUGCGAGCGUUGUCCGGAAUUAUUGGGCGUAAAGAGCUUGUAGGCGGUUUGUCGCGUCUGCUGUGAAAAUCCGGGGCUCAACCCCGGACUUGCAGUGGGUACGGGGCAGACUGGAGUGUGGUAGGGGGAGACUGGAAUUCCUGGUGUAGCGGUGGAAUGCGCAGAUAUCAGGAGGAACACCGAUGGCGAAGGCAGGUCUCUGGGCCACUACUGACGCUGAGAAGCGAAAGCAUGGGGAGCGAACAGG